AACCAGCAAACAAAAAGACUGUAAGAAAGCCAAGAAAGAAAAAGUAAAGAAAGAAUGACAAAAUUGAUUGUAGCGUACAAAACCCAGUCAGUUGGCAGACAGCCAUGCACGUCUGCCGGACAUCCACAAACGGAAAUUUUUCUUCUUUAAUUUUUCCAUUUUCUUUCAUCGA
rnacentral:ribozyme from 11 species